UCUAGCAACAGGAAACAAGAAAAGUGGAGUUCGGAUCGAUAGGAAGGAAAUUGAGACGUCUCGGGGGAGGGGAGAUUUAGUGUGUGUGUCCUGGGGGGUGAGAUGGGGAUAGGGGAGACAAGAAGAGGAUGAAACAAUUUAUGACGGAGAAGGGGAAAUUAAUUACAACUCAAUUUGGGUUCUUAAGUGGUCAACACAGGAGGAGGGGCACGGUCAGCGUGUUCGGAAAACUGGAAUGGCCCACCUACCCCUCGUCAGGCGCGGGAGAAACCAGGUGCCCUCUUCCUCGCCCUUUAAGUCAGAAACUAUGCCCGUGGUUGAAUAAAUCGUUGGCCGGAGGUGUCCGCCACUCAGGGCCCAUGCGAAGAAGUGCCUUCUAAUGGCGAGAGACCAAAGGAAGAGGAAGAGAGACAGAGAGAGAGAGGGAGAGAGACAGAGAGAGAGAGGGAGAGAGGAUGGCUUCGAAUUUAUUUAUAUUGGAAAUGUAUAAACAUCCAUUCUGUAAAAGGCAACACGUUUAAUUAACGAUGAGAGAGCAGUUAGGGGCAGAAAGCUAGUAAAAUUGUGUGAUAAAUUUA